rnacentral:rRNA from 1 species
UACAGAGGUCUCAAGCGUUGUUCGGAUUCAUUGGGCGUAAAGGGUGCGUAGGCGGCGCGGUAAGUCGGGUGUGAAAUCUCGGAGCUUAACUCCGAAACUGCAUUCGAUACUGCCGUGCUUGAGGACUGGAGAGGAGACUGGAAUUUACGGUGUAGCGGUGAAAUGCGUAGAUAUUACAUGGAAUACCAAUUGCGAAGGCAGGUUACUAUCAAUAUAUUGACGCUGAUGGACGAAAGCGUGGGGAGCGAACAGG